AGUCAACAUGCCCAGAGGACGUGGAUAACCUCGGGAAACUGAGGAUAAACCGCGAUAGGUCAUAAUAUCUGGAAUGAUUUAUGGUUUAAAUCUAUAUGGCCUCUGGAUUGGACUGCGGCCGAUCAGGCUGUUGGUGAGGUAAUGGCCCACCAAACCUAAAACCGGUACGGGCUCUGAGAGGAGAAGCCCGGAGAUGGGCACUGAGACAAGGGCCCAGGCCCUAUGGGGCGCAGCAGGCGCGAAAACUCUGCAAUAAGCGAAAGCUUGACAGGGUUAUUCUGAGUGAUUUCCGCUAAGGAAAUCUUUUGGCACCUCUAAAAAUGGUGCAGAAUAAGGGGUGGGCAAGCCUGGUGUCAGCCGCCGCGGUAAUACCAGCACCCCGAGUGGUCGGGACGAUUAUUGGGCCUAAAGCAUCCGUAGCCGGUUCUACAAGUCUUCCGUUAAAUCCACCUGCUUAACAGAUGGGCUGCGGAGGAUACUAUGGAGCUAGGAGGCGGGAGAGGCAAGCGGUACUUAGUGGGUAGGGGUAAAAUCCGUUGAUCCAUUGAAGACCACCAGUGGCGAAGGCGGCUUGCCAGAACGCACUCGACGGUGAGGGAUGAAAGCUGGGGGAGCAAACCGGAUUAGAUACCCGGGUAGUCCCAGCUGUAAACGAUGCAGACUCGGUGAUGAAUAGGCUUCGUGCCUA
rnacentral:rRNA from 1 species